UUAGCACCCAGCGAAACAACUAGUGUGCCGGAUGGCGUGAAGGUCCACAGGAUGCUGGCCAUCCUUGAUUAUGACCCAUGGGAAAGUUCUCCAAACAUAGAUAUUGAGUAUGAGCUUCCCUUUCGUGCAGGAGAUAUUAUUUAUGUUUUGGGGGAAAUGGACAGUGAUGGAUUUUAUUACGGAGAUCUACAUGGUUAUCGAGGUCUUGUGCCGUCAAACUUUUUACAAUCAUUGCCUUGGGACUGAAAGAAAUCAGAAACCAGGAACAUGAGAGUGACCUCAGACUGUGAUUAUAACCCACUUUACUGAAUUCAUUUAAUUUUAUGUGUCUUGUUUCCUCUAAUGUUCAUG